rnacentral:misc_RNA from 1 species
CAACCCUCGAGCCCCUCCGGGGGGUCGGCGUUGGGGAUCGGCCCUCCCUCCAGCGGGGGCCGUCCCCGAAAUGCAGUGGCGGUCUCGCCGCGGCCUCCCCUGCGCAGUAGCUUGCACGCUCGCACCGGGAGCGCGGCGCGUCCACGGCCGUUAAACACCCAACUUCCGAAAUG